UUGACCAACUGUUUAAACUAU
rnacentral:snRNA from 1 species